AUCAAUUUUCUCAUCAAUGUUUACCAAUCCCAUGCUCUAAUAAUCAAAAGUUUAAAAAAUCAAUUUGCAUUUAUAGGAUGGAAAAUAAUUCACUAAGUGUUUUUUUUAACUUAAAAUAAUAUCAGGUUUUUACAAAAAAGACAGGCAUUUAUGGGGUUAAAAUACAAAACCUGAAUAAAGUUUUGCUAUUUAUGAUUAGGUUAUAAGUCAAUGAUGGCAGCCAAAAAAAAAAAAAAAAUUAAAUAUAUUUAUUUAGACAAUAUUUCUACUGAAGCAAAAUG